rnacentral:rRNA from 1 species
AUUGAACGCUGGCGGCAGGCUUAACACAUGCAAGUCGAGCGGGGGAAGGUAGCUUGCUACCGGACCUAGCGGCGGACGGGUGAGUAAUGCUUAGGAAUCUGCCUAUUAGUGGGGGACGACACCUCGAAAGGGAUGCUAAUACCGCAUACGUCCUACGGGCGAAAGCAGGGGAUCUUCGGACCUUGCGCUAAUAGCUGAGCCUAAGUCGGAUUAGCUAGUUGGUGGGGUAAAGGCCCACCAAGGCGACGAUCUGUAGCGGGUCUGAGAGGAUGAUCCGCCACACUGGGACUGAGACACGGCCCAGACUCCUACGGGAGGCAGCAGUGGGGAAUAUUGGACAAUGGGGGGAACCCUGAUCCAGCCAUGCCGCGUGUGUGAAGAAGGCCUUAUGGUUGUAAAGCACUUUAAGCGAGGAGGAGGCUACUCUAGUUAAUACCUAGGGAUAGUGGACGUUACUCGCAGAAUAAGCACCGGCUAACUCUGUGCCAGCAGCCGCCGUAA